rnacentral:ncRNA from 1 species
UAUAGAACGUUGAAGAGGGAAAGUAAAAAACAAGCUGCUUAUCCAGAGAGAACCACCUUGGCUGUGAGUGGUUUUGGGCGUUGUUUUUGAAGUGCUCCUCGGAGUCCGUUAUGGAAUAUAAGUACAUAACGGCGGUACUCUCCCGUUACGAGAGAUUUGAGUUGGGAGGAGCUUUCCUCCAAACAGAGUGGGACCGCGCUAAAGCGUCUCUGUG